rnacentral:rRNA from 1 species
AGAACGAACGCUGGCGGCAUGCCUAACACAUGCAAGUCGAACGUGAUCCAGGCUUCGGCCUGGUGAAAGUGGCAGACGGGUGAGUAACGCGUGGGAACCUGCCCUGUGGUAGGGAAUAACCGUGGGAAACUGCGGCUAAUACCUUAUGAGUCCUUCGGGAGAAAGAUUUAUCGCCAUAGGAGGGGCCCGCGUCGGAUUAGGUAGUUGGUGGGGUAACGGCCUACCAAGCCUUCGAUCCGUAGCUGGUCUGAGAGGAUGAUCAGCCACACUGGGACUGAGAUACGGCCCAGACUCCUACGGGAGGCAGCAGUGGGGAAUAUUGGACAAUGGGGGCAACCCUGAUCCAGCAAUGCCGCGUGGAUGAUGAAGGCCUUCGGGUUGUAAAGUCCUUUCGGCGGGGAAGAUGAUGACGGUACCCGCAGAAGAAGCCCCGGACUAACUUCGCGCCAGCAGCCGC